rnacentral:rRNA from 1 species
GACGUAGGGUGCGAGCGUUGUCCGGAUUUAUUGGGCGUAAAGAGCUCGUAGGCGGCUCGUCGCGUCGACCGUGAAAACCCGCGGCUUAACCGCGGGCUUGCGGUUGAUACGGGCGGGCUAGAGUUCGGUAGGGGAGACUGGAAUUCCUGGUGUAGCGGUGAAAUGCGCAGAUAUCAGGAGGAACACCGGUGGCGAAGGCGGGUCUCUGGGCCAUUACUGACGCUGAGGAGCGAAAGCGUGGGGAGCGAACAGG